rnacentral:rRNA from 1 species
UAGGGAAUCUUCGGCAAUGGGCGAAAGCCUGACCGAGCAACGCCGCGUGAAUGAAGAAGGCCUUCGGGUUGUAAAAUUCUGUUAUAAGGGAAGAAAGGUGAUAGGAGGAAAUGACUAUCAAUUGACGGUACCUUAUGAGAAAGCCACGGCUAACUACGUGCCAGCAGCCGCGGUAAUACGUAGGUGGCAAGCGUUAUCCGGAAUUAUUGGGCGUAAAGAGCGCGCAGGUGGUUAAUUAAGUCUGAUGUGAAAGCCCACGGCUUAACCGUGGAGGGUCAUUGGAAACUGGUUGACUUGAGUGCAGAAGAGGGAAGUGGAAUUCCAUGUGUAGCGGUGAAAUGCGUAGAGAUAUGGAGGAACACCAGUGGCGAAGGCGGCUUCCUGGUCUGCAACUGACACUGAGGCGCGAAAGCGUGGGGAGCAAACA